rnacentral:rRNA from 1 species
UACGUAGGGUGCAAGCGUUGUCCGGAAUUAUUGGGCGUAAAGAGCUCGUAGGCGGUCUGUCGCGUCUGGUGUGAAAACUCAAGGCUUAACCUUGAGCUUGCAUCGGGUACGGGCAGACUAGAGUGUGCUAGGGGGAGACUGGAAUUCCUGGUGUAGCGGUGAAAUGCGCAGAUAUCAGGAGGAACACCGGUGGCGAAGGCGGGUCUCUGGGGCAUGAACUGACGCUGGAGGAGCGAAAGCAUGGGGAGCGAACAGGA